AAGGAUACCAAAUUACAACAAAUGCGGUGCGCAAACCCAAAUAUAUUAGAUACAUGACGAGAAAGAUCUAGUGAAAAGAAUAUAACAUAAAAGCUACUAAAACUGAUGUAACUAAAUUCAGAGUAACAAGGAAACCAGGAUGUAUCAAAAACAUCAAUAUUUUAGAAUAUCAGCUACUAAAGCACAUGAGCUUAAGAAACUUGCUUCAAAUUAUAGAAACCAUUACGAGAUGAGUCCAAACACAAUCUGUUAACAAUUUGGCGAAGAUUUCAUAAGGUCAACUUAUACGGUGUCCGUGUUGCCAAAAAAAAACGACUUAAUAAACUAAUUACCAAAAAAUGGGUUAAAUAGUAUUGACUAUUGAAAAAAUUCAUAUCCCCAGAUGAGUUAAAAUUUAAUCAGUUCGGCAAAGACUUCUUAAGGUCAACUUAUACGGUGUCCGGGUUGCCAAACAAAUUAUAAUAAAUAGUCACUAAAAACACUUGAAAUGGGUUAAAUAAUAACGACUAUUAAAACAACCAUCUCUCCAGAUCUCAAUCUGUUAGCAGUACGGCAAACUUCACAAGAGUCACUUACACAGAGUACUUUUAAUAAAUAGGUUCCGAAAACGUUUGCAAUAAAUAAAACAAUAUGUACUAUUAAAAACCAAUAAUUUCGACAGAUGAGUCUGAAUUUAAUCUGUUACAUCCGAUAGAGGGCUACUUGACUGCUUAAUGAUAAAUACGUUUCGAGUCCAGACUCGUCAGCGCUAAGGAUUUUAGAUUUAUGCUAUAGAAGAAGAGUGAUUUGUUCAAUUGAUGCUCAAUAUUCUAAGAUUAAAGUUCUUAUCAUAAAUGGGCAUUUUAGCAUUAGAUACGCCUGUUUUAAAUGCUACGCAAAGGCUUAUUAAUAUGCUGACGAUUCAAGUCAGAAAGAGCGCAUAAUUCACAUUCUGUGCAUUAAAAUAAACCAUUGAAAAAAUAUGAUAUCAAAGAACUUUAGCGCAAAUUUCUA